CACAGAUGUUCCUCAAUGGAAGAAUGGAUACAGAAAGUGUGACUCUAAUACUGUCAGCAAGUGCAUGGAUGCAGAGUCAUCUACUGGAUCAUGGGUAGCCUCUAGAGGAUGAUAUCUGAAAAUAACAUACUGUCCUUCUCUAAAGACCGAUUUAUUUCAAAUAACUUUUAAGCUACUGGUGGGAUUUCUCCUUAUCCUCCUCCUUCCAUGCAAGAUCAUCCUCACGUCUUGUGAAUUCUGCCAGAACUACUCUGUCAGGUGCAUCUAGGAAAGGAUGAAGCUUGCAGGUAUUUUCCUGAGAUGUCCAAAAUUUUGCAUAGACUAUGAUGGAUGAGCUCCGGAGAUGCUUCUCUGAAAUAUGUUUGAGAAUGCCGAAGAACAGUUAUACAAAUCAGAUUCAGCUCCAAUCCAUUUUCUUUUCAAAGAAGAGCAGACCUUCAAGAGACUACAGUGAAACAGGACAAAAGAAGAAACAAU